rnacentral:lncRNA from 1 species
CUUCCAGGGGUUGGGCGUGUCUACCUUUUCAGUAGAAUAGGGCACUUGUGGCUGUUUCUAUUGCUCUGCCAGCUUCCUUCUGGAGGUGAAGUAAAAUUUGCGCUUGAAGACUUUCUUCAGGAAGGCAAAUUUGUCCCUGCUUUCUCUGGAAUCCUGUUUGGCUUUUACCCUUGAGUACCCACUAAUGAUGCUGGGACUGACUUCUGCCACUAACUCCUUCAUGUCACACCUCCAGUUCUCCAAACAGGAAAAUAAAAUGCCCCCAAGGAGCAAUGCAGCCCUGUGGUGUGGUGUUUAUGGUCAGUUUGACCAGAUCUGUAAUCCAAGAGACAAGUCUUCAUGAUCAAGUGUGCCUCAGGUCACUCACUGCUGAUGAGGAUUUACAUUGACCGAGUUCAUGGACUAGGAAGACCCACCCUAAAUGUAUUAUCAUUCCCUGGGUUCAGAUACCCAGGAAGCUACUAGAGGAAGCUAGUUCAGCUGCCUCGGCUCUCCCACUACGAUGGACCCCUUGAACUGUGACACACACACACAAAAAAUCCUUGCUUAGGCCAUUUUUGCAUGGUGUCUGGCCACAGCAGUGGGAGAAGCAGUUAAGACAAGCUUCCAUCACAAACAGAUGGAGAAGAAGAUACUGUAGAAAAAG